rnacentral:rRNA from 1 species
AGAACGAACGCUGGCGGCAUGCCUAAUACAUGCAAGUCGAACGAAGCUUCGGCUUAGUGGCGCACGGGUGCGUAACGCGUGGGAAUCUGCCCUUGGGUUCGGAAUAACAGUUGGAAACGACUGCUAAUACCGGAUGAUGACGAAAGUCCAAAGAUUUAUCGCCAAGGGAUGAGCCCGCGUAGGAUUAGCUAGUUGGUGAGGUAAAGGCUCACCAAGGCGACGAUCCUUAGCUGGUCUGAGAGGAUGAUCAGCCACACUGGGACUGAGACACGGCCCAGACUCCUACGGGAGGCAGCAGUAGGGAAUAUUGGACAAUGGGCGAAAGCCUGAUCCAGCAAUGCCGCGUGAGUGAUGAAGGCCUUAGGUUGUAAAGCUCUUUUACCCGAGAUGAUAAUGACAGUAUCGGGAGAAUAAGCCCCGGACUAACUCCGUGCCAGCAGCCGC